UCGUUUCAAGGAAGUUUUAACGCUUCGAAGAUUUGUAAUGGAUAGGUGUGUGAAAUUAAUUAUGAGGAAGUAUUAUCGUCACGUUUCUUUAAUAUCUUAGGACAAAGCUAGACGAGGCUCAUAAUUGGGUAUAUCAAUCGUUGAGAAACAAAGGUGCUGAAAUACCAACUAUGCAGAAGGAAAAGAAAAUAAGAUCAACACAUAUUAUUACGCUUAACGCUGGAUGUUCUUUAGUUGAUAGAGAUGAAGAUGUGUUAAAAAUGAGUAUUAACAAUUGUAAUUACUGUAAUGAAUAAAUUAUCCACUAA